rnacentral:rRNA from 1 species
AGUGAACGCUGGCGGUAGGCCUAACAUAUGCAAGUCGAACGGCAGCACAGUAAGAGCUUGCUCUUACGGGUGGCGAGUGGCGGACGGGUGAGGAAUACAUCGGAAUCUACUUUUUCGUGGGGGAUAACGUAGGGAAACUUACGCUAAUACCGCAUACGACCUACGGGUGAAAGCCGGGGAUCUUCGGACCUUGCGCGAUUGAAUGAGCCGAUGUCGGAUUAGCUAGUUGGCGGGGUAAAGGCCCACCAAGGCGACGAUCCGUAGCUGGUCUGAGAGGAUGAUCAGCCACACUGGAACUGAGACACGGUCCAGACUCCUACGGGAGGCAGCAGUGGGGAAUAUUGGACAAUGGGCGCAAGCCUGAUCCAGCCAUACCGCGUGGGUGAAGAAGGCCUUCGGGUUGUAAAGCCCUUUUGUUGGGAAAGAAAAGCAGCAGGUUAAUACCCCGCUGUUCUGACGGUACCCAAAGAAUAAGCACCGGCUAACUUCGUG